CUACUUACCUGGCAGGGGAGAUACCAUGAUCACGAAGGUGGUUUUCCCAGGACGAGGCUUAUCCAUCGCACUCUGGAUGUGCCGACCCCUGUGAUUUCCCCAAAUGUGGAAACUCAACUGCAUAAUUUGUGGUAGUGGGGGACUGCAUUCGUGCUUUCCCCUG